UACGGAGGGUGCGAGCGUUGUCCGGAAUUAUUGGGCGUAAAGAGCUCGUAGGCGGUCUGUCGCGUCGAUCGUGAAAACUUGGGGCUUAACCCUGAGCUUGCGGUCGAUACGGGCAUGACUGGAGUUCGGCAGGGGAGACUGGAAUUCCUGGUGUAGCGGUGAAAUGCGCAGAUAUCAGGAGGAACACCGGUGGCGAAGGCGGGUCUCUGGGCCGAUACUGACGCUGAGGAGCGAAAGCGUGGGGAGCAAACAGG
rnacentral:rRNA from 1 species